CCUACGGGUGGCAGCAGUGAGGAAUAUUGGUCAAUGGGCGCGAGCCUGAACCAGCCAAGUCGCGUGAGGGAAGACGGUCCUAUGGAUUGUAAACCUCUUUUGUCGGGGAGCAAAAGACGCCACGUGUGGCGUUCCGAGAGUACCCGACGAAAAAGCAUCGGCUAACUCCGUGCCAGCAGCCGCGGUAAUACGGAGGAUGCGAGCGUUAUCCGGAUUUAUUGGGUUUAAAGGGUGCGCAGGCGGAAGAUCAAGUCAGCGGUAAAAUUGAGAGGCUCAACCUCUUCGAGCCGUUGAAACUGGUGUUCUUGAGUGAGCGAGAAGUAGGCGGAAUGCGUGGUGUAGCGGUGAAAUGCAUAGAUAUCACGCAGAACUCCGAUUGCGAAGGCAGCAUACCGGCGCUCAACUGACGCUCAUGCACGAAAGUGUGGGUAUCGAACAGGAGUAGAUACCCCUGUAGUC
rnacentral:rRNA from 1 species